rnacentral:rRNA from 1 species
AUUGAACGCUGGCGGCAUGCCUUACACAUGCAAGUCGAACGGUAACAGGUCUUCGGAUGCUGACGAGUGGCGAACGGGUGAGUAAUACAUCGGAACGUGCCUGAUCGUGGGGGAUAACGCAGCGAAAGCUGUGCUAAUACCGCAUACGAUCUACGGAUGAAAGCGGGGGAUCGCAAGACCUCGCGCGGACGGAGCGGCCGAUGGCAGAUUAGGUAGUUGGUGGGAUAAAAGCUUACCAAGCCGACGAUCUGUAGCUGGUCUGAGAGGACGACCAGCCACACUGGGACUGAGACACGGCCCAGACUCCUACGGGAGGCAGCAGUGGGGAAUUUUGGACAAUGGGCGCAAGCCUGAUCCAGCCAUGCCGCGUGCAGGAUGAAGGCCUUCGGUUGUAAACUGCUUUUGUACGGAACGAAAAGACUCUCUCUAAUACAGGGGUGAAUGAGGUACCGUAAGAAUAAGCACCGGCUAACUACGUGCC